GGGUUGUGAGGUUAAGCGACUAAGCGUACACGGUGGAUGCCCUGGCAGUCAGAGGCGAUGAAGGGCGUGCUAAUCUGCGAUAAGCGCCGGUAAGGUGAUAUGAACCGUUAUAACCGGCGAUACCCGAAUGGGGAAACCCAGUGUGACUCGUCACACUAUCAUUAACUGAAUCCAUAGGUUAAUGAGGCGAACCGGGGGAACUGAAACAUCUAAGUACCCCGAGGAAAAGAAAUCAACCGAGAUUCCCCCAGUAGCGGCGAGCGAACGGGGAGUAGCCCAGAGCCUGAAUCAGCAUGUGUGUUAGUGGAAGCGUCUGGAAAGGCGCGCGAUACAGGGUGACAGCCCCGUACACAAAAGCGCAUGUGCUGUGAGCUCGAUGAGUAGGGCGGGACACGUGGUAUCCUGUCUGAAUAUGGGGGGACCAUCCUCCAAGGCUAAAUACUCCUGACUGACCGAUAGUGAACCAGUACCGUGAGGGAAAGGCGAAAAGAACCCCGGCGAGGGGAGUGAAAAAGAACCUGAAACCGUGUACGUACAAGCAGUGGGAGCACCCUUUGGGGUGUGACUGCGUACCUUUUGUAUAAUGGGUCAGCGACUUAUAUUCUGUAGCAAGGUUAACCGAAUAGGGGAGCCGUAGGGAAACCGAGUCUUAAUUGGGCGUUAAGUUGCAGGGUAUAGACCCGAAACCCGGUGAUCUAGCCAUGGGCAGGUUGAAGGUUGGGUAACACUAACUGGAGGACCGAACCGACUAAUGUUGAAAAAUUAGCGGAUGACCUGUGGCUGGGGGUGAAAGGCCAAUCAAACCGGGAGAUAGCUGGUUCUCCCCGAAAGCUAUUUAGGUAGCGCCUCGUGAACUCAUCUCCGGGGGUAGAGCACUGUUUCGGCUAGGGGGCCAUCCCGGCUUACCAACCCGAUGCAAACUGCGAAUACCGGAGAAUGUUAUCACGGGAGACACACGGCGGGUGCUAACGUCCGUCGUGAAGAGGGAAACAACCCAGACCGCCAGCUAAGGUCCCAAAGUCAUGGUUAAGUGGGAAACGAUGUGGGAAGGCCCAGACAGCCAGGAUGUUGGCUUAGAAGCAGCCAUCAUUUAAAGAAAGCGUAAUAGCUCACUGGUCGAGUCGGCCUGCGCGGAAGAUGUAACGGGGCUAAACCAUGCACCGAAGCUGCGGCAGCGACACUGUGUGUUGUUGGGUAGGGGAGCGUUCUGUAAGCCUGUGAAGGUGGCCUGUGAGGGUUGCUGGAGGUAUCAGAAGUGCGAAUGCUGACAUAAGUAACGAUAAAGCGGGUGAAAAGCCCGCUCGCCGGAAGACCAAGGGUUCCUGUCCAACGUUAAUCGGGGCAGGGUGAGUCGACCCCUAAGGCGAGGCCGAAAGGCGUAGUCGAUGGGAAACGGGUUAAUAUUCCCGUACUUGGUGUUACUGCGAAGGGGGGACGGAGAAGGCUAUGUUGGCCGGGCGACGGUUGUCCCGGUUUAAGCGUGUAGGUGUGUGUUCCAGGUAAAUCCGGUUCACUUUAACACUGAGGCGUGACGACGAGGCACUACGGUGCUGAAGCAACAAAUGCCCUGCUUCCAGGAAAAGCCUCUAAGCAUCAGGUAACAUCAAAUCGUACCCCAAACCGACACAGGUGGUCAGGUAGAGAAUACCAAGGCGCUUGAGAGAACUCGGGUGAAGGAACUAGGCAAAAUGGUGCCGUAACUUCGGGAGAAGGCACGCUGACACGUAGGUGAAGUGAUUUACUCACGGAGCUGAAGUCAGUCGAAGAUACCAGCUGGCUGCAACUGUUUAUUAAAAACACAGCACUGUGCAAACACGAAAGUGGACGUAUACGGUGUGACGCCUGCCCGGUGCCGGAAGGUUAAUUGAUGGGGUCAGCGCAAGCGAAGCUCCUGAUCGAAGCCCCGGUAAACGGCGGCCGUAACUAUAACGGUCCUAAGGUAGCGAAAUUCCUUGUCGGGUAAGUUCCGACCUGCACGAAUGGCGUAAUGAUGGCCAGGCUGUCUCCACCCGAGACUCAGUGAAAUUGAACUCGCUGUGAAGAUGCAGUGUACCCGCGGCAAGACGGAAAGACCCCGUGAACCUUUACUAUAGCUUGACACUGAACAUUGAGCCUUGAUGUGUAGGAUAGGUGGGAGGCUUUGAAGUGUGGACGCCAGUCUGCAUGGAGCCGACCUUGAAAUACCACCCUUUAAUGUUUGAUGUUCUAACGUGGACCCGUAAUCCGGGUUGCGGACAGUGUCUGGUGGGUAGUUUGACUGGGGCGGUCUCCUCCUAAAGAGUAACGGAGGAGCACGAAGGUUGGCUAAUCCUGGUCGGACAUCAGGAGGUUAGUGCAAUGGCAUAAGCCAGCUUGACUGCGAGCGUGACGGCGCGAGCAGGUGCGAAAGCAGGUCAUAGUGAUCCGGUGGUUCUGAAUGGAAGGGCCAUCGCUCAACGGAUAAAAGGUACUCCGGGGAUAACAGGCUGAUACCGCCCAAGAGUUCAUAUCGACGGCGGUGUUUGGCACCUCGAUGUCGGCUCAUCACAUCCUGGGGCUGAAGUAGGUCCCAAGGGUAUGGCUGUUCGCCAUUUAAAGUGGUACGCGAGCUGGGUUUAGAACGUCGUGAGACAGUUCGGUCCCUAUCUGCCGUGGGCGCUGGAGAACUGAGGGGGGCUGCUCCUAGUACGAGAGGACCGGAGUGGACGCAUCACUGGUGUUCGGGUUGUCAUGCCAAUGGCACUGCCCGGUAGCUAAAUGCGGAAGAGAUAAGUGCUGAAAGCAUCUAAGCACGAAACUUGCCCCGAGAUGAGUUCUCCCUGAGACUUAGAGUCUCCUGAAGGAACGUUGAAGACGACGACGUUGAUAGGCCGGGUGUGUAAGCGCAGCGAUGCGUUGAGCUAACCGGUACUAAUGAACCGUGAGGCUUAACCUUACAACGCCGAAG
rnacentral:rRNA from 1 species